rnacentral:lncRNA from 1 species
GUCCAUUCAUGCUCCUGACUUCCCUGGGAGCCUGGCCAGCUCCAUGUGCAGGCUGGAGAGCAGUUGUGCAGGCUGGCCCUCCCACUGGGCUGAGACUGGGGAGUGUGGCAGGGGCUGCACCAAAUGCCCCAGGGGCAGCUUGUGUUUGGAGAAGUCCCCAUCUCUGUUGUCCUGGGGUCUACCUGCCACCACCUGAGCUGUAAUUACAACUGUCUUAUGUCUGGCCAAGCUAAGCCGCUCUACUGAGCAGUGGGGAUCAGUGACAGCAGGGGUUGAAGGUGAUGAGGGGUGGGGUGUGGGAGCUCAGGAGCAGGACCUGCUAAGAAUAGACCUGGACACCUUCCUUCCCAGCAGUUUGGAAGGGUGUGCGGGACCAGCCCCACACUGGGCUCUCAACAAGCUGGUAGGGCACCCACCCCUGCUUGGAUUGCCACCUUCCUAUCUCUAUACCCAGGACAGGACUUGUGUGUCCCACCCCCAUCCCAUUCCUGUCCUCUGCCUGUAGCUGCAACAGACUACCCCCCAAGACAGAUGGCACUCUAUCUCCCAUCACUCUGUCCUCACAACAAGGUGAGUCUCAGCCUUGAGAGCCUCAGUCUCUUCAUCUGUGGAGGAUACCCUACCUGUGACAAAUAGGCAUGUCUUAUGGGAUUUUGUUUUGGUUUGUUUUGUUUAUACUGGGGAUCGACCACAGGGUCUUGUGCUUGAGUGCGCUACCAUGAGGUGGGGUAGAGGCUUCCACUUGUACAGUGCCAAGUUAUAUCCCUAGCCCUUUUUUAAAAAAAUAUUUAUUUUUUAGUUGUAGUUGGACACAAUACCUUCAUUUUAUUUAUGUAUUUAUUUAAUUUAUUUUAUUUUAGGGCCGCACACGUGCAAGGCAAGCGCUCUACCACUGAGCCACAACCCCAGCCCUCCCCAGACUUUUAAAAUUUAUUUUGAGACAGAGUUUUUCUAAGUUGCCCAGGUGGACCUCAAACUUGUGAUCCUUCUGCCUCAGCCUUCUGAAUAACUAGAAUUACAGGUAUACUCCAUUACACCAGCUUGUCUCAUGGGAUUUCUGUAAAGAUGUGCUAAGACUGUGCAUAUGAAAGGUUUGGUGCAGGGCCUGGACAGAGCAAGGCCACACUAAGACCACACUAAAGGGGCUGUUGGGGGUGAGUUCACACCUGGCCCUGAACUGCCUCAUUUAAACCUCCCAGGUUCUGUUCACAUACUCCCGAUUUUCUCAAGGAAGGAUUUGGGAUUUAGCAGGAUUAGUGAGGUACCCAAGGUCACACAGCUGUAGGUGGCAGAGCUGGGGCUCCAACCUGGCCAUCCUGGACUUGCAAGUUCAAACUCUACAGCAACAACCUGCUCAGCCCGCAAGGAGGGUGCCUAUGGACCUCAGUGGAGGAGAGCCUGUUUUGCACAGGGUUUUCUGUUUUCAAUUGCUGAGCACCCGGGGAGGAGCUCAGAUGUGGCUGCCUGGCUCUUUGUUCAGUCCUCUGAACAGGGCUCUGAGCCUGGGUGGGUGGCUGGGCAGCCACUAGCUUGCAGAGACAAGUGGAGGACUAUACAGGAUCCCCCACUUCCCUCAGCACCUCUCUCUCAGGUCUGAUGGUGGGGAGAAGAGGGGACGGGAAUAGAUGGUUGAGCUUGAUUUACUCCCCUUUUGUUGGAGUAGGUUCCUGAGGCCAGGGCAGAUGCUGCAGUGUGUGCGGUGCUGAGAAACGGACCCUUGCCUGGAGCUGGCAGGCCCUGGGUAGAUGACACUGCAGUGCAGCUUUGGGAUUCCAGGCACAUCCUGAGGCUUCAGCAGAGGCUGUGAGGGUGAAGCCAGGGCCUGGGCCUGCAUGGUUGAGAGAUGCCAGAGCAGACAAACCCUGUGCUACCAGCACCGGCCUCUGUCUUUGGAGAAGUGACCUCAAAAAAUACUCAGGAGGACAGGCCUGUGAAGCCUCAGGGACCCUGCCACGCCCAUACCCCUCUUCCUGAGCCCAUGGCUCUGAGGCUCUGAGAGCUCUCUCCUACCACCUCCAGAUCAGGGGCUCUACCUCCCUAUACUCCUUGGAUUUGUUGCUUAAAAGAUGGGGAGAAUAAUCCCUUCCUGGGACGAUGAGAUUGGGUGAUGUGUGCCUAGGAGGGAGUCUGGCCCACAGGAAGGCUAAAUCACAAAGCCUCCUCUUCCUGGCUCAGGGGUCUAUGAGUUCACAGGCAGCAAGCACCAUGUCUGGACUUCCAGAGGUGACACAUGGCACUGAGUGGAUCAAGCCCCUUGUCCCUGUGCUUACCUCCUUGCCAAGAAUCCUUUCUCUGACCAUUGAACUCACAGAAAGCACACAGGCCAGCAGUUCCAUAUAGGUCCUUCUGGAAAAACAACGAGUUUGCAGCUGUAGGGCCUGGAGACAGGAGAAGGGACAAAGGUGUGACCCCCUAACUUUCUUAGGGCCUAUUCAGGGAAGGGAAUAGGGUGGCCUCCCCUCAUCCAGGCAUCCUGUGAUAGGAUAGGGAAUGGCCAAAGAAAAGGGACAUGAGAGUGACUCUAGUAGAUGAGUCAUGGGGUGUGCUGUCAAGGUGCUCACUACUCAUCCCCCAAAUGACAGGGAACUCUUGGAAUUGAUCAGAGCCUUGCAAAGCAGCUCCGUAGAAAGCAGAGCCUUCUCCCAUUCCAGGGAAGACCCCAGGGAGUGGAGACCUCGGUGUAGGAAAGGAUCCCCAUGAGUGAAAUCUGAGCAAACUCCUUGGAGAAAGGGGUCUGUGAGAGACCGGUGGUUGAGGAGAGGAAAGUCCAGAGUCCCAGAGAGGUGGAGGUUGGACAGGGAAAGGCAUAGGUGUGGGACACAGGCCCAAGCGGUGGCCUGGGCAGAGUGGGAAGAUGGUGUGCGUGAACCUGUGGGAGGAGACCAUCCCAGUGGAGGAGGCUGGACAUAAACUGCCCCAGCUGUCAUGAGCCAGGGAUCAUAGAGCAAAUUAGAGGUGGAUCCUUCUCUGUGCCUUCAAGUGAUUUUCCUAGGGCAAAUAGGUUCUGAGGAAUAGGAUCACUAGGUUAAAGGUCAUGCAUAUUUUUAUUUUUUUUUAACUUAAGUUGACAAAUGGCCUCCAGAAAGCAUCUCCAGCUCCCAUGCCCUGGGUGGGUUAUGAGAAAGCUGGGGAGNGUAGAGGUCGAGGGUACGGGACCCACC